rnacentral:rRNA from 1 species
UACGUAGGGUGCAAGCGUUGUCCGGAAUUAUUGGGCGUAAAGAGCUCGUAGGCGGUUUGUCGCGUCUGCUGUGAAAGCCCGGGGCUCAACCCCGGGUCUGCAGUGGGUACGGGCAGACUAGAGUGCAGUAGGGGAGACUGGAAUUCCUGGUGUAGCGGUGAAAUGCGCAGAUAUCAGGAGGAACACCGAUGGCGAAGGCAGGUCUCUGGGCUGUUACUGACGCUGAGGAGCGAAAGCAUGGGGAGCGAACAGG